AACGAACGCUGGCGGCAGGCUUAACACAUGCAAGUCGAACGCAUCGCAAGAUGAGUGGCAGACGGGUGAGGAACACGUGGGAACAUCCCUUUCAGUUCGGAAUAACUCAGGGAAACUUGAGCUAAUACCGGAUCCGUCCGUGAGGAGAAAGAUUUAUCGCUGAAAGAUUGGCCCGCGUCUGAUUAGCUAGUUGGUGAGGUAAUGGCUCACCAAGGCUACGAUCAGUAGCUGAUCUGAGAGGAUGAUCAGCCACAUUGGGACUGAGACACGGCCCAAACUCCUACGGGAGGCAGCAGUGGGGAAUAUUGGACAAUGGGCGCAAGCCUGAUCCAGCCAUGCCGCGUGAGUGAUGAAGGCCUUCGGGUUGUAAAGCUCUUUUGUCCGGGAAGAUAAUGACUGUACCGGAAGAAUAAGCCCCGGCAAACUUCGUGCCAGCCGCCGCAGUAA
rnacentral:rRNA from 1 species